rnacentral:rRNA from 1 species
UACAGAGACUGCGAGCGUUAUUCGGAUUCACUGGGCGUAAAGGGUGCGCAGGCGGCCAAGUGUGUUAGGCGUGAAAGCCCGGGGCUUAACCCCGGAAUUGCACCUAAAACUACAUGGCUAGAGCAUUGGAGAGGGUAGCAGAAUUCACGGUGUAGCAGUGAAAUGCGUAGAUAUCGUGAGGAAUACCAGAGGCGAAGGCGGCUACCUGGACAAUUGCUGACGCUCAGGCACGAAAGCGUGGGGAGCAAAAGGG